GAACUGAAGAGUUUGAUCAUGGCUCAGAUUGAACGCUGGCGGCAGGCCUAACACAUGCAAGUCGA
rnacentral:rRNA from 1 species